UAGAGGGUCGAGCCCUUAACCUGCCACAUAUUAUGAUUCACUCUAUAGCAGACUCCCUUAGGCUGAGUCGAGGUUGUCUCCCCUUUGGUCGUCAUCUUACUCUUCUUCUUCGAGCUCUAGGGGUUGACCCAGGUACCGAGUCUGCCUUACCCUUGUCCAGUGAGUAUACCCCUUACACUGAGGCUACCCUCCUCCACAUGGGUCUGACUAGGAGAGGCAAUGAAUUUUAUAAUUCUA
rnacentral:lncRNA from 1 species